AGUGAACGCUGGCGGUAGGCCUAACACAUGCAAGUCGAACGGCAGCACAGGAGAGCUUGCUCUCUGGGUGGCGAGUGGCGGACGGGUGAGGAAUACAUCGGAAUCUGCCCAGUCGUGGGGGAUAACGUAGGGAAACUUACGCUAAUACCGCAUACAACCUUCGGGUGAAAGAGGGGGAUCGCAAGACCUCUCGCGAUUGGAUGAGCCGAUGUCGGAUUAGCUAGUUGGCGGGGUAAUGGCCCACCAAGGCGACGAUCCGUAGCUGGUCUGAGAGGAUGAUCAGCCACACUGGAACUGAGACACGGUCCAGACUCCUACGGGAGGCAGCAGUGGGGAAUAUUGGACAAUGGGCGCAAGCCUGAUCCAGCCAUACCGCGUGGGUGAAGAAGGCCUUCGGGUUGUGAAGCCCUUUUGUUGGGAAAGAAAUCUUUCAGGCUAAUACCCUGGGAGGAUGACGGUACCCAAAGAAUAAGCACCGGCUAACUUCAUG
rnacentral:rRNA from 1 species